rnacentral:ncRNA from 1 species
GAGUUUGAUCAUGGCUCAGAAGGAACGCUAGCUAUAUGCUUAACACAUGCAAGUCGAACGUUGUUUUCGGGGAGCUAGGAAGAAAGAAAAGAGGCUCCUAUCUUAAGGUAGCUUGUCUCGCCUAGAGGGUGGGAACAUUUGAGAACAAAGUGGCGAACGGGUGCGUAAAGCGUGGGAAUCCGCCGAACAGUUCGGGCCAAAUCCUGAAGAAAGAUAAAAAGCGUUGUUUGAUGAGCCUACGUAGUAUUAGGUAGUUGGUCACGUAAAGUCUCACCAAGCCAAUGAUGCUUAGCUGGUCUUUUCAGAUGAUCAGCCACACUAUGACUGAGACACGGCACAGACUCCCAUGGAAGGGAGCAGUGGGGAAUUUUGGACAAUGGGCAAAAGGUCGAUCCAGCAAUAUCACGUGAGUGAAGAAGGGCAAUGCCGCUUGUAAAGCUCUUUCAUCGAGUGUGCGAUCAUGACAAGACUCGAGGAAGAAGCCCUGACUAACUCCGUGCCAGCAGCCGCGGUAAGACGGGUGGGAGGGGGGCAAGUAUUCUUCAGAAUGACUGGGCGUAAAGGGAACGUAGGCUGUGAAUCGGGUUGAAAGUGAAAGUCGCCAAAAACUGGCGGAAUGCUCUCGAAACCAAUUCACUUGAGUGAGACAGAUGAGAGUGGAAUUUCGUGUGUAGGGGUGAAAUCCAGAGAUCUACGAAGGAACGCCAAAAGUGAAGGCAGCUCUCUGGGUCCCUACGGACACUGGGGUGCGAAAGCAUGGGGAGCGAACGAGAUUAGAUACCCUAGUAGUCCAUGCUGUAAACUAUGAGUGUUUGCCCUUGGUCUACGCAGAUCAAGGGCCCAACUAACGCAUGAAACACUUCGCC